UCUUGCUCUUGGUAUCCCGCGAAAAAAAAAAUGAGGAACGGCAGAAGAAGAAAAAAGAAAAAAAAAAAGUCUAAAAAAGUUCGAAUUCGCUCGUGUGUCACGACAGCGAAAUUCGAAAAUUCUGGUGGCUUUUUUUUUUUUUUUUUU
rnacentral:ribozyme from 1 species